rnacentral:rRNA from 1 species
UAGGGAAUCUUCGGCAAUGGACGAAAGUCUGACCGAGCAACGCCGCGUGAGUGAAGAAGGUUUUCGGAUCGUAAAACUCUGUUGUUAGAGAAGAACAAGGACGUUAGUAACUGAACGUCCCCUGACGGUAUCUAACCAGAAAGCCACGGCUAACUACGUGCCAGCAGCCGCGGUAAUACGUAGGUGGCAAGCGUUGUCCGGAUUUAUUGGGCGUAAAGCGAGCGCAGGCGGUUUCUUAAGUCUGAUGUGAAAGCCCCCGGCUCAACCGGGGAGGGUCAUUGGAAACUGGGAGACUUUAGUGCAGAAGAGGAGAGUGGAAUUCCAUGUGUAGCGGUGAAAUGCGUAGAUAUAUGGAGGAACACCAGUGGCGCAGGCGGCUCUCUGGUCUGUAACUGACGCUGAGGCUCGAAAGCGUGGGUAGCAAACAGG